rnacentral:rRNA from 1 species
GACGAACGCUGGCGGCGUGCUUAACACAUGCAAGUCGAACGGAAAGGCCCUGCUUUUGUGGGGUGCUCGAGUGGCGAACGGGUGAGUAACACGUGAGUAACCUGCCCUUGACUUUGGGAUAACUUCAGGAAACUGGGGCUAAUACCGGAUAGGAGCUCCUGCUGCAUGGUGGGGGUUGGAAAGUUUCGGCGGUUGGGGAUGGACUCGCGGCUUAUCAGCUUGUUGGUGGGGUAGUGGCUUACCAAGGCUUUGACGGGUAGCCGGCCUGAGAGGGUGACCGGCCACAUUGGGACUGCGGUACGGCCCAGACUCCUACGGUAGGCAGCAGUGGGGAAUAUUGCACAGUGGGCGGGAGCCUGAUGCAGCAACGCCGCGUGCGGGAUGACGGCCUUCGGGUUGUAAACCGCUUUCGCCUGUGACGAAGCGUGAGUGACGGUAAUGGGUAAAGAAGCACCGGCUAACUACGUG